rnacentral:lncRNA from 1 species
GCACGUGGUUCUCCCAUUUUAUACUUGACGUUUGCGUAGCUUGUUUUAUUGCAGGUGGUCAAUGAGACACAAUGUAGAAAAAUUGAGCAGUUCUCUUGACUGGAUGAUUCGAUUUUGACAAAGGUUGUCUAGAAUCCUCAUUUUUUUUUGAAACUGCGGCAAAAUAUUUGCCUCAUAUAUUUAUUAAGAGAGGAGUAGAAUGUUUGAU